AAGUCGUAACAAGGUUUCCGUAGGUGAACCUGCGGAAGGAUCAUUAAAAAUAUAGCAAACCGAGCGUCAGCGAGGUUUUGCGAUCAAAAUUGUAUUUAAAACCCAACUCUUUGAAUCAAAUAUAUUAUUAUUGUAUCAUAAAUUAAUUAAAAGAUCACUUUCAACAACGGAUCUCUUGGCUCUC
rnacentral:misc_RNA from 1 species